rnacentral:rRNA from 1 species
GUGGGGAAUAUUGGAUAAUGGGGGGAACCCUGAUCCAGCCAUGCCGCGUGUGUGAAGAAGGCCUUUUGGUUGUAAAGCACUUUAAGCGAGGAGGAGGCUACCGAGAUUAAUACUCUUGGAUAGUGGACGUUACUCGCAGAAUAAGCACCGGCUAACUCUGUGCCAGCAGCCGCGGUAAUACAGAGGGUGCAAGCGUUAAUCGGAUUUACUGGUCGUAAAGCGCGCGUAGGUGGCCAAUUAAGUCAAAUGUGAAAUCCCCGGGCUUAACUUGGGAAUUGCAUUCGAUACUGGUUGGCUAGAGUAUGGGAGAGGAUGGUAGAAUUCCAGGUGUAGCGGUGAAAUGCGUAGAGAUCUGGAGGAAUACCGAUGGCGAAGGCAGCCAUCUGGCCUAAUACUGACGCUGAGGUACGAAAGCAUGGGGAGCAAACAGGAUUAGAAACCCGAGUAGUCC